UACAGAGGGUGCAAGCGUUGUUCGGAAUUAUUGGGCGUAAAGCGCGUGUAGGCGGCUUUGCAAGUCGGGUGUGAAAGCCCUCAGCUUAACUGAGGAAGUGCGCCCGAAACUGCAGAGCUUGAGUACCGGAGAGGAUGGUGGAAUUCCCCAAGUAGAGGUGAAAUUCGUAGAUAUGGGGAGGAACACCGGUGGCGAAGGCGACCAUCUGGACGGAUACUGACGCUGAGACGCGAAAGCGUGGGUAGCAAACAGGAUUAGAAACCCUGGUAGUCC
rnacentral:rRNA from 1 species